rnacentral:rRNA from 1 species
ACGAACGCUGGCGGCGUGCUUAACACAUGCAAGUCGAACGGAAAGGCCCUGCUUUUGUGGGGUGCUCGAGUGGCGAACGGGUGAGUAACACGUGAGUAACCUGCCCUUGACUUUGGGAUAACUUCAGGAAACUGGGGCUAAUACCGGAUAGGAGCUCCUGCUGCAUGGUGGGGGUUGGAAAGUUUCGGCGGUUGGGGAUGGACUCGCGGCUUAUCAGCUUGUUGGGGGGGUAGUGGCUUACCAAGGCUUUGACGGGUAGCCGGCCUGAGAGGGUGACCGGCCACAUUGGGACUGAGAUACGGCCCAGACUCCUACGGGAGGCAGCAGUGGGGAAUAUUGCACAAUGGGCGGAAGCCUGAUGCAGCAACGCCGCGUGCGGGAUGACGACCUUCGGGUUGUAAACCGCUUUCGCCUGUGACGAAGCGUGAGUGACGGUAAUGGGUAAAGAAGCACCGGCUAACUACGUG